GGAAGGGUGGCCGAGCGGUUGAAGGCGGCGGCCUCGAAAGCCGUUGAGGGUCUUUUGGCUCUCCGUGAGUUCGAAUCUCACCCCUUCCGCCA
rnacentral:tRNA from 1 species